UUAGCGGCGGACGGGUGAGUAACACGUGGAUAACCUACCUAUAAGACUGGGAUAACUUCGGGAAACCGGAGCUAAUACCGGAUAAUAUUUUGAACCGCAUGGUUCAAAAGUGAAAGACGGUCUUGCUGUCACUUAUAGAUGGAUCCGCGCUGCAUUAGCUAGUUGGUAAGGUAACGGCUUACCAAGGCAACGAUGCAUAGCCGACCUGAGAGGGUGAUCGGCCACACUGGAACUGAGACACGGUCCAGACUCCUACGGGAGGCAGCAGUAGGGAAUCUUCCGCAAUGGGCGAAAGCCUGACGGAGCAACGCCGCGUGAGUGAUGAAGGUCUUCGGAUCGUAAAACUCUGUUAUUAGGGAAGAACAUAUGUGUAAGUAACUGUGCACAUCUUGACGGUACCUAAUCAGAAAGCCACGGCUAACUACGUGCCAGCAGCCGCGGUAAUACGUAGGUGGCAAGCGUUAUCCGGAAUUAUUGGGCGUAAAGCGCGCGUAGGCGGUUUUUUAAGUCUGAUGUGAAAGCCCACGGCUCAACCGUGGAGGGUCAUUGGAAACUGGAAAACUUGAGUGCAGAAGAGGAAAGUGGAAUUCCAUGUGUAGCGGUGAAAUGCGCAGAGAUAUGGAGGAACACCAGUGGCGAAGGCGACUUUCUGGUCUGUAACUGACGCUAAUGUGCGAAAGCGUGGGGAUCAAACAGGAUUAGAUACCCUGGUAGUCCACGCCGUAAACGAUGAGUGCUAAGUGUUAGGGGGUUUCCGCCCCUUAGUGCUGCAGCUAACGCAUUAAGCACUCCGCCUGGGGAGUACGACCGCAAGGUUGAAACUCAAAGGAAUUGACGGGGACCCGCACAAGCGGUGGAGCAUGUGGUUUAAUUCGAAGCAACGCGAAGAACCUUACCAAAUCUUGACAUCCUUUGACAACUCUAGAGAUAGAGCUUUCCCCUUCGGGGGA
rnacentral:rRNA from 1 species